CAUUGGAACAUCUAUGUGUCCACAAGCAACACAGAUUUUCGGCAUCACCAUAGGACACAGAACUCCACUUCCUGACAUCAAUGUAUUCCGCCAUGGGAGCGAGAACGGAUUAAACAAAAAGUCUGGCAAAGUCUCCACGCCAAGAUUCCGAAGAGAUAUAUAUGCUUUGUGUUGAAAAAAAGAAGUGAAGAACUGACCCGAGCGGACUCAAAGCAUGAGCACUGAGUGUUCUUUUCAUCUCGUUACAACAAGAAGUGCAGGGAGAAAAAGGUGGAGCAGAUGUUGACUCCAACCGCAAGCCUCUGCCCUCUCGUCCAUCUCCCUAGGCAGAAGACCCCUGUCUUGGCUGCCAUUUCUCAGCGUGACAGCUGAGAGCCAGACAGCGGAACGAGAGUGGGGCUUUGGUGGUGGGGGGGAAGGCAGGGCUUAAAUCUGAGAGAUAGCUUAGAGGCUAGACAUACAGAGAUAGGCCUCUGCCCCCCCUAUUGGGGACCAGGUGUUCUUCUAUCGAGGUUCCUCGACUGGUGAGAGAGAGAGAGAGAACUACCCUCAUGUUUCACUUGGCAUCGCUGCACCUGCAUCUGUGGGGUUAGGAAGUGCCAUUGCUUGUGUGUUUGGGGGCUGGAGCGGGGCGACAGCUUGGUCUCUAGAGGCUGCAGACAGUGUUGCACCACCACACUGCAGACCUCUGUGCCCCAAACAGGCACCCACCUCGCCUCCCUCUCAGCCUGACACGUCUCUGUGUCGACUCAGCAACUCCGUCCCAACUUUUUCAUUAUUUUUUUUUUCAGCUAGUCAGGUAUUCAGUUCACGUUUUACUCGUACUAUUUUUAGAUGACUGAGUGACGUACACGUCUAUUUCGAUGAUGCCUCACAGGAAUUUUCAGGGUUCUUUUCACAAAUGAACCCAAGCAGUCUAUAGCGGAGCCGUCGCUUGUUUGUUAUGUUAAUGUUUGGUUCCAUAAUAAGUACUGAUUCUCAAUGCGGAGGAUUUUAUAUGGUGAACCUGCGCUUACUUUGCUCUCCUUCAAGCGGUUCGGUACUUUCACAUUGUUCAGUCAGUAACCUCAAACGCAUCCUGGCAGCUUUACAAAGACAGGUACACCUCGCAUGACAAGCAAGUGCUCAUGUGUCUAGCAGUGGCGCUAGAGGAUAAGAGAGCAACCGUAAACACCACACACUCACACGACUCGAGAAGCCAAAAUUGCCGGUUGGCGACCAACUGCCUUCUUCCAGGAGGGAGAGGAACAGAUGGCCAAACGAACACCUCCAGACUCAUGCAAACUGAAAGAAGCCCGCGAUUUGGACUUGCAUGUGGAGUCAGAGACUCUUCUUCCCACAUGAAAUUGCUGCAAGCAACUUGUGUCCAGACCCGGUCCUUUGAUGCAAAGGCUGCUUACGAGUUUUCAUUGUGGAAUUGACGGUCCCAUGGCAAGAAGCGUUCAAAAGAACUAAAGGACAAAUAUAACCAGGCAUGGCUGAGAUGGCGGGGCUUUGUGGGUCCUUCUCCUCUCUGGUUACCGAGAGAAGUUCUAGUCAUAGGUCAGGCUCCGUGGAUGAUCGCCAAGGAACUUGCUGCUCAAGUAGCCACCAGGGUGGCACAUACCCUGGAGGAUGUUGGAAUAUUGUAUGUUGAGUGAAUGAAUAUAAGCCGUGGCUCAGCGAAAGGACAAGGUUUCUUCAGCAGAGGUUCAUCUUGAGGACAAGCAGAAGUUGUUUAUCACAUCUGCAGUUCAGCGGCAGACAAUGCUGAGAAAACAGGAUAGACGCUAGACGUGCUACUUCUCUGAAUUUUGACACCUACAUUAUGGAACUUUGGGAGAAUAAGACUCUAAGUAUAAGAAUCGGGCGAUGCACUCAGAAGCGAAGAGGUUGUAUCAUGAUAUGUACUUCUCAGACGCUCUCCUGAGUUCUGUGUGUUGGUGACCUUUCAUCAAAUACACUGUUACCGCUGAGUCCGUCUACCUUCUCAUCUUUUUCUCAUUUUGCAACC